rnacentral:rRNA from 1 species
GCCUACGGGGCGCAGCAGGGAGGAAUAUUGGUCAAUGGGCGCGAGCCUGAACCAGCCAAGUCGCGUGAGGGAAGACGGUCCUAUGGAUUGUAAACCUCUUUUGUCGGGGAGCAAAAAGGCCUCGUGAGGCCACAAGUGAGAGUACCCGAAGAAAAAGCAUCGGCUAACUCCGUGCCAGCAGCCGCGGUAAUACGGAGGAUGCGAGCGUUAUCCGGAUUUAUUGGGUUUAAAGGGUGCGUAGGCGGGCUGGAAAGUCAGCGGUAAAAUCGAAAGGCUCAACCUCUUUCCGCC